UACGAAGGGAGCUAGCGUUGUUCGGAAUCACUGGGCGUAAAGCGCACGUAGGCGGAUGUGUCAGUCAGGGGUGAAAUCCCGGAGCUCAACUCCGGAACUGCCUCUGAUACAGCACGUCUUGAGUUCGAGAGAGGUGGGUGGAAUUCCUAGUGUAGAGGUGAAAUUCGUAGAUAUUAGGAAGAACACCCGUGGCUAAGGCGGCUCUCUAGUACGGUACUGACGCUGAGACGCGAAAGCGUGGGGAGCGAACAGGA
rnacentral:rRNA from 1 species